rnacentral:misc_RNA from 1 species
UAAAAGGCGAAGUGGGUUAUCUUCAAAAAGGAUAUAGUUUGAUUUUUUUUUUAUUUGGUAAAUUAAGAUUUUAGGAGGGAAAUUAUCAACAACAGACAUACAGAUAGCCAAGAAAUCUGCUUUUGAACAUGACUGUAGCAUUACUAUGGGUUGCCUCUCCCAAUACAGAGGUUUCCAACUCGUUUGCAUUCUUCCAUUCGGUCCGCGUUUUAGAUUCAUCCA